rnacentral:misc_RNA from 1 species
GCACAGUAAUUGUACCCACAGU